AGCGUACACGGUGGAUGCCCUGGCAGUCAGAGGCGAUGAAGGACGUGCUAAUCUGCGAUAAGCGUCGGUAAGGUGAUAUGAACCGUUAUAACCGGCGAUUUCCGAAUGGGGAAACCCAGUGUGUUUCGACACACUAUCAUUAACUGAAUCCAUAGGUUAAUGAGGCGAACCGGGGGAACUGAAACAUCUAAGUACCCCGAGGAAAAGAAAUCAACCGAGAUUCCCCCAGUAGCGGCGAGCGAACGGGGAGCAGCCCAGAGCCUGAAUCAGUGUGUGUGUUAGUGGAAGCGUCUGGAAAGGCGCGCGAUACAGGGUGACAGCCCCGUACACAAAAAUGCACAUACUGUGAGCUCGAUGAGUAGGGCGGGACACGUGGUAUCCUGUCUGAAUAUGGGGGGACCAUCCUCCAAGGCUAAAUACUCCUGACUGACCGAUAGUGAACCAGUACCGUGAGGGAAAGGCGAAAAGAACCCCGGCGAGGGGAGUGAAAAAGAACCUGAAACCGUGUACGUACAAGCAGUGGGAGCACAGAGCAAUCUGUGUGACUGCGUACCUUUUGUAUAAUGGGUCAGCGACUUAUAUUCUGUAGCAAGGUUAACCGAAUAGGGGAGCCGAAGGGAAACCGAGUCUUAACUGGGCGUUAAGUUGCAGGGUAUAGACCCGAAACCCGGUGAUCUAGCCAUGGGCAGGUUGAAGGUUGGGUAACACUAACUGGAGGACCGAACCGACUAAUGUUGAAAAAUUAGCGGAUGACUUGUGGCUGGGGGUGAAAGGCCAAUCAAACCGGGAGAUAGCUGGUUCUCCCCGAAAGCUAUUUAGGUAGCGCCUCGUGAAUUCAUCUCCGGGGGUAGAGCACUGUUUCGGCAAGGGGGUCAUCCCGACUUACCAACCCGAUGCAAACUGCGAAUACCGGAGAAUGUUAUCACGGGAGACACACGGCGGGUGCUAACGUCCGUCGUGAAGAGGGAAACAACCCAGACCGCCAGCUAAGGUCCCAAAGUCAUGGUUAAGUGGGAAACGAUGUGGGAAGGCCCAGACAGCCAGGAUGUUGGCUUAGAAGCAGCCAUCAUUUAAAGAAAGCGUAAUAGCUCACUGGUCGAGUCGGCCUGCGCGGAAGAUGUAACGGGGCUAAACCAUGCACCGAAGCUGCGGCAGCGACGCUGAUGCGUUGUUGGGUAGGGGAGCGUUCUGUAAGCCUGUGAAGGUGUGCUGUGAGGCAUGCUGGAGGUAUCAGAAGUGCGAAUGCUGACAUAAGUAACGAUAAAGCGGGUGAAAAGCCCGCUCGCCGGAAGACCAAGGGUUCCUGUCCAACGUUAAUCGGGGCAGGGUGAGUCGACCCCUAAGGCGAGGCCGAAAGGCGUAGUCGAUGGGAAACAGGUUAAUAUUCCUGUACUUGGUGUUACUGCGAAGGGGGGACGGAGAAGGCUAUGUUGGCCGGGCGACGGUUGUCCCGGUUUAAGCGUGUAGGCUGGUUUUCCAGGCAAAUCCGGAAAAUCAAGGCUGAGGCGUGAUGACGAGGCACUACGGUGCUGAAGCAACAAAUGCCCUGCUUCCAGGAAAAGCCUCUAAGCAUCAGGUAACAUCAAAUCGUACCCCAAACCGACACAGGUGGUCAGGUAGAGAAUACCAAGGCGCUUGAGAGAACUCGGGUGAAGGAACUAGGCAAAAUGGUGCCGUAACUUCGGGAGAAGGCACGCUGAUAUGUAGGUGAAGUCCCUCGCGGAUGGAGCUGAAAUCAGUCGAAGAUACCAGCUGGCUGCAACUGUUUAUUAAAAACACAGCACUGUGCAAACACGAAAGUGGACGUAUACGGUGUGACGCCUGCCCGGUGCCGGAAGGUUAAUUGAUGGGGUCAGCGCAAGCGAAGCUCUUGAUCGAAGCCCCGGUAAACGGCGGCCGUAACUAUAACGGUCCUAAGGUAGCGAAAUUCCUUGUCGGGUAAGUUCCGACCUGCACGAAUGGCGUAAUGAUGGCCAGGCUGUCUCCACCCGAGACUCAGUGAAAUUGAACUCGCUGUGAAGAUGCAGUGUACCCGCGGCAAGACGGAAAGACCCCGUGAACCUUUACUAUAGCUUGACACUGAACAUUGAGCCUUGAUGUGUAGGAUAGGUGGGAGGCUUUGAAGUGUGGACGCCAGUCUGCAUGGAGCCGACCUUGAAAUACCACCCUUUAAUGUUUGAUGUUCUAACGUUGACCCGUAAUCCGGGUUGCGGACAGUGUCUGGUGGGUAGUUUGACUGGGGCGGUCUCCUCCUAAAGAGUAACGGAGGAGCACGAAGGUUGGCUAAUCCUGGUCGGACAUCAGGAGGUUAGUGCAAUGGCAUAAGCCAGCUUGACUGCGAGCGUGACGGCGCGAGCAGGUGCGAAAGCAGGUCAUAGUGAUCCGGUGGUUCUGAAUGGAAGGGCCAUCGCUCAACGGAUAAAAGGUACUCCGGGGAUAACAGGCUGAUACCGCCCAAGAGUUCAUAUCGACGGCGGUGUUUGGCACCUCGAUGUCGGCUCAUCACAUCCUGGGGCUGAAGUAGGUCCCAAGGGUAUGGCUGUUCGCCAUUUAAAGUGGUACGCGAGCUGGGUUUAGAACGUCGUGAGACAGUUCGGUCCCUAUCUGCCGUGGGCGCUGGAGAACUGAGGGGGGCUGCUCCUAGUACGAGAGGACCGGAGUGGACGCAUCACUGGUGUUCGGGUUGUCAUGCCAAUGGCACUGCCCGGUAGCUAAAUGCGGAAGAGAUAAGUGCUGAAAGCAUCUAAGCACGAAACUUGCCCCGAGAUGAGUUCUCCCUGACUCCUUGA
rnacentral:rRNA from 1 species